rnacentral:rRNA from 1 species
UGGCUCAGGAUGAACGCUGGCGGUCUGCUUAACACAUGCAAGUCGAACGCAACCUUCGGGUUGAGUGGCGGACGGGUGAGUAACGCGUGAGAAUCUGCCUUGGGGUCGGGGACAACCACUGGAAACGGCGGCUAAUACCGGAUAAGCCUUUGGGUAAAAAAUUUAUUGCCCCAAGAGGAGCUCGCGUCUGAUUAGCUAGUUGGUGAGGUAAAAGCUCACCAAGGCAGCGAUCAGUAGCUGGUCUGAGAGGACGAUCAGCCACACUGGGACUGAGACACGGCCCAGACUCCUACGGGAGGCAGCAGUGGGGAAUUUUCCGCAAUGGGCGAAAGCCUGACGGAGCAAGACCGCGUGAGGGAGGAAGGCUCUUGGGUUGUAAACCUCUUUUCUCAGGGAAGAAGCUCUGACGGUACCUGAGGAAUCAGCCUCGGCUAACUCCGUGCCAGCAGCCGCGGUAAUACGGAGGAGGCAAGCGUUAUCCGGAAUUAUUGGGCGUAAAGCGUCCGCAGGUGGCGAUUCAAGUCUGCUGUCAAAGCACGGGGCUUAACUCCGUUAAGGCAGUGGAAACUGAAUAGCUAGAGUGCCGUAGGGGUAGAGGGAAUUCCCGGUGUAGCGGUGAAAUGCGUAGAGAUCGGGAAGAACAUCGGUGGCGAAAGCGCUCUACUGGACGGCAACUGACACUCAGGGACGAAAGCUAGGGGAGCGAAUGGGAUUAGAUACCCCAGUAGUCCUAGCUGUAAACGAUGGAUACUAGGUGUAGCUUGUAUCGACCCGAGCUGUGCCGAAGCUAACGCGUUAAGUAUCCCGNCUGGGGAGUACGCACGCAAGUGUGAAACUCAAAGGAAUUGACGGGGGCCCGCACAAGCGGUGGAGUAUGUGGUUUAAUUCGAUGCAACGCGAAGAACCUUUCCAGGGCUUGACAUGUC